UACGUAGGUGGCGAGCGUUGUCCGGAUUUACUGGGCGUAAAGGAUGCGUAGGUGGAAAUUUAAGUGGGAUGUGAAAUCCCCGGGCUCAACUUGGGUGCUGCAUUUCAAACUGGAAGUCUAGAGUGCAGGAGAGGAGAAUGGAAUUCCUAGUGUAGCGGUGAAAUGCGUAGAGAUUAGGAAGAACACCAGUGGCGAAGGCGAUUCUCUGGACUGUAACUGACGCUGAGGCUCGAAAGCGUGGGGAGCAAACAGGAUUAGAUACCCGCGUA
rnacentral:rRNA from 1 species